rnacentral:misc_RNA from 1 species
GUAAUAAGUGUUUUAUGGCACUUUUUAAAUCCAUAUCCACCUUGUGUGCAAUGUCAGUCGAUCUUCUUCAUGGAGAUCGACCAAACAUCAACCUUUAUCUUUUAAACAUCUUUGCCUGAAAAAUAUUAUGAAUAAACAAUUCAAAAUA